rnacentral:rRNA from 1 species
AUUGAACGCUGGCGGCAGGCUUAACACAUGCAAGUCGAGCGGUAACAGGAGAAGCUUGCUUCUCGCUGACGAGCGGCGGACGGGUGAGUAAUACUUAGGAAUCUGCCCAGUAGUGGGGGAUAGCUCGGGGAAACUCGAAUUAAUACCGCAUACACCCUACGGGGAAAAGGGGGCACUUGUGCUCUCGCUAUUGGAUGAGCCUAAGUCGGAUUAGCUAGUUGGUGGGGUAAAGGCCUACCAAGGCGACGAUCUGUAGCUGGUCUGAGAGGAUGAUCAGCCACACCGGGACUGAGACACGGCCCGGACUCCUACGGGAGGCAGCAGUGGGGAAUAUUGGACAAUGGGGGCAACCCUGAUCCAGCCAUGCCGCGUGUGUGAAGAAGGCCUUUUGGUUGUAAAGCACUUUAAGCAGUGAAGAAGACUCUAUGGUUAAUACCCAUAGACGAUGACAUUAGCUGCAGAAUAAGCACCGGCUAACUCUGUGCCAGCAGCCGCGGUAAUACAGAGGGUGCAAGCGUUAAUCGGAAUUACUGGGCGUAAAGCGAGCGUAGGUGGCUUGAUAAGUCAGAUGUGAAAUCCCCGGGCUUAACCUGGGAACUGCAUCUGAUACUGUUAGGCUAGAGUAGGUGAGAGGGAGGUAGAAUUUCAGGUGUAGCGGUGAAAUGCGUAGAGAUCUGAAGGAAUACCGAUGGCGAAGGCAGCCUCCUGGCAUCAUACUGACACUGAGGUUCGAAAGCGUGGGUAGCAAACAGGAUUAGAUACCCUGGUAGUCCACGCCGUAAACGAUGUCUACUAGUCGUUGGGGAACUUGAUUCCUUAGUGACGCAGCUAACGCAAUAAGUAGACCGCCUGGGGAGUACGGCCGCAAGGUUAAAACUCAAAUGAAUUGACGGGGGCCCGCACAAGCGGUGGAGCAUGUGGUUUAAUUCGAUGCAACGCGAAGAACCUUACCUGGUCUUGACAUAUCUAGAAUCCUGCAGAGAUGCGGGAGUGCCUUCGGGAAUUAGAAUACAGGUGCUGCAUGGCUGUCGUCAGCUCGUGUCGUGAGAUGUUGGGUUAAGUCCCGCAACGAGCGCAACCCUUUUCCUUAGUUACCAGCGGUUUGGCCGGGGACUCUAAGGAUACUGCCAGUGACAAACUGGAGGAAGGCGGGGACGACGUCAAGUCAUCAUGGCCCUUACGACCAGGGCUACACACGUGCUACAAUGGUAGGUACAGAGGGCAGCUACACAGCGAUGUGAUGCGAAUCUCAAAAAGCCUAUCGUAGUCCAGAUUGGAGUCUGCAACUCGACUCCAUGAAGUCGGAAUCGCUAGUAAUCGCGGAUCAGAAUGCCGCGGUGAAUACGUUCCCGGGCCU